ACUUAUUUCAGGGGUGAGACCUCAAGUAAGUGGCCAUGGAGGAGGUUACUUUUCAUCUCUAACAAGAGGUGCAGGAGCUCUUCAACCAGGAGCUGGAAUGAGACCAGCUGGAGCCAAAGCUGGAAAAUACUCUGCCUUUGGGGCCCAAGGGAUUUCUCCAGGACAAGG